GAUGUAGAACGUAGCGAAAUGCGAUAAGUAAUGUGAAUUGCAGAAUUCAGUGAAUCAUCGAAUCUUUGAACGCACAUUGCGCCCGCCAGUAUUCUGGCGGGCAUGCCUGUCUGAGCGUCAUUUCAACCCUCAUGCCCCUAGGGCGUGGUGUUGGGGAUCGGCCAAAGCCCGCGAGGGACGGCCGGCCCCUAAAUCUAGUGGCGGACCCGUCGUGGCCUCCUCUGCGAAGUAGUGAUAUUCCGCAUCGGAGAGCGAUGAGCCCCUGCCGUUAAACCCCCAACUUUCCAAGGUUGACCUCAGAUCAGGUAGGAAUACCCGCUGAACUUAAGCAUAUCAAUAAGCGGAGGA
rnacentral:misc_RNA from 1 species